ensembl:snRNA U6 U6 spliceosomal RNA
GUGCUUGCUUCAACUGCACAUAUGCUAAAAUUAGAACGAUAUGGAGACGAUUAGCAUGGCGCCUGCACAAAAAUGACAUGCAAAUUCGUGAAGUGUUCUAUACUUUU